GAGGGUGUAGCUCAGUGGUAGAGCAUAUGUCUAGCAUGCAUGAGAUCCAGGGUUUGAUCCCUAGCACUGUAA
rfam:Ictidomys tridecemlineatus contig081172, whole genome shotgun sequence.